GAACGGCAGCAUGAUCUAGCUUGCUAGACUUGAUGGCGAGUGGCGAACGGGUGAGUAAUACAUCGGAACGUGCCCUGUAGUGGGGGAUAACUAGUCGAAAGAUUAGCUAAUACCGCAUACGACCUGAGGGUGAAAGUGGGGGACCGCAAGGCCUCAUGCUAUAGGAGCGGCCGAUGUCUGAUUAGCUAGUUGGUGAGGUAAAGGCUCACCAAGGCGACGAUCAGUAGCUGGUCUGAGAGGACGAUCAGCCACACUGGGACUGAGACACGGCCCAGACUCCUACGGGAGGCAGCAGUGGGGAAUUUUGGACAAUGGGGGCAACCCUGAUCCAGCAAUGCCGCGUGUGUGAAGAAGGCCUUCGGGUUGUAAAGCACUUUUGUCCGGAAAGAAAUCGCACUUACUAAUAUUAGGUGUGGAUGACGGUACCGGAAGAAUAAGGACCGGCUAACUACGUGCCAGCAGCCGCGGUAAUACGUAGGGUCCAAGCGUUAAUCGGAAUUACUGGGCGUAAAGCGUGCGCAGGCGGUUGUGCAAGACCGAUGUGAAAUCCCCGGGCUUAACCUGGGAAUUGCAUUGGUGACUGCACGGCUAGAGUGUGUCAGAGGGGGGUAGAAUUCCACGUGUAGCAGUGAAAUGCGUAGAGAUGUGGAGGAAUACCGAUGGCGAAGGC
rnacentral:rRNA from 1 species